UACAGAGGGUGCCAGCGUUGUUCGGAAUCACUGGGCGUAAAGCGCGUGUAGGCGGUCUCCUAAGUCAGGUGUGAAAUCCCCCAGCUUAACUGGGGAAGUGCGCCUGAAACUGGGAGGCUUGAGUAUCGGAGAGGGUAGGGGAAUUCCCGGUGUAGAGGUGAAAUUCGUAGAUAUCGGGAGGAACACCGGUGGCGAAGGCGCCUACCUGGACGGUAACUGACGCUGAGACGCGAAAGCGUGGGUAGCAAACAGG
rnacentral:rRNA from 2 species